GACGAACGCUGCCGGCGUGCUUAACACAUGCAAGUCGAACGGAAAGGCCCUGCUUUUGUGCGGUGCACGCGUGGCGAACAGCUGAGUAACACGUGAGUAACCUGCCCUUGACUUUGGGAUAACUCAAGGAAACUGCGGAUCAUACCGGCUACCAGAUCCUGCUGCACGGUGUGGGUUAGAAGCUUUCGGCGGUUGGGGAUGGACUCGCGGCUUAUCAGCUUGUUGCGGGAGUAGUGGCUUACCAAGGCUUUGACGGGUAGCCGGCCGGAGAGGGUGACCGGCGACCACGGGACUGAGAUAGGGGCAAGACUCCUACGGGAGGCAGCAGUGGGGGAUAUGGAACAAGCGGCCGACGGGUGAUGUAGAAGCGUCGUGUGCGGGAAGCAGGCCUUCGGGCUGUAAACCGCUUUCGCCUGUCACGAAGUGUGCGUGACGGUAACGGGUGAAGAAGCACCGGCUAACUACGUG
rnacentral:rRNA from 1 species